UAAAAAGAGAUACUUUGAAAUCAUUUACUGAUGAAGUGGUCAAACAAAGAAAAUGAGACUUUGAGGGAGACACUAAUACGAUGUGGAAUGAGAUGACUACUUGUAUUAAGAAGGUUGCUAAAGAUGUCAUAGGUGAAUCGAAAGGAAAACUUCAUUCCCGUAGAGACUUGGGAAUGGGAUGAUGAGGUU